rnacentral:rRNA from 1 species
GAUGAACGCUGGCGGCGUGCUUAACACAUGCAAGUCGAACGGGAGACCUUUUAUUGAAGCUUCGGCAGAUUUAGCUGGUUUCUAGUGGCGGACGGGUGAGUAACGCGUGGGUAACCUGCCCUAUACAGGGGGAUAACAACCAGAAAUGGUUGCUAAUACCGCAUAAGCGCACAGGACCGCAUGGUCCGGUGUGAAAAACUCCGGUGGUAUAGGAUGGACCCGCGUUGGAUUAGCCAGUUGGCAGGGUAACGGCCUACCAAAGCGACGAUCCAUAGCCGGCCUGAGAGGGUGAACGGCCACAUUGGGACUGAGACACGGCCCAGACUCCUACGGGAGGCAGCAGUGGGGAAUAUUGCACAAUGGGGGAAACCCUGAUGCAGCGACGCCGCGUGAAGGAAGAAGUAUCUCGGUAUGUAAACUUCUAUCAGCAGGGAAGAUGGUGACGGUACCUGACUAAGAAGCCCCGGCUAACUACGUGCCAGCCGCCGCCGUAAAAC